ACUCCUACGGGAGGCAGCAGUGGGGAAUCUUGGACAAUGGGGGCAACCCGUGAUCCAGCCAUGCCGCGUGAGUGAUGAAGGCCUUAGGGGUCGUAAAGCUCUUUCGCCUGUGAAGAUAAUGACGGUAGCAGGUAAAGAAACCCCGCUACUCCGUGCCAGCAGCCGCGGUAAUACGGAGGGGUUAGCGUUGUUCGGAAUUACUGGGCGUAAAGCGCACGUAGGCGGAUCGGAAAGUUGGGGUGAAAUCCCGGGGCUCAACCCCGGAA
rnacentral:rRNA from 1 species